GAUGAAGAACGCAUCGAAAUGCGAUAAGUAGUGUGAAUUGCAGAAUUCAGUGAAUCAUCGAAUCUUUGAACGCACAUUGCGCCCGCCAGUAUUCUGGCGGGCAUGCCUGUUCGAGCGUCAUUUCAACCAUCAAGCCCCCGGCUUGUGUUGGGGACCUGCGGCUGCCGCAGGCCCUGAAAACCAGUGGCGGGCUCGCUGUCACACCGAGCGUAGUAGAUUUUCAUCUCGCUCAGGGCGUGCUGCGGGUUCCGGCCGUAAAAAGCCUUAUUUACCCAAGGUUGACCUCGGAUCAGGUAGGAAGACCCGCUGAACUUAAGCAUAUCAAUAAGCGGAGGA
rnacentral:misc_RNA from 1 species